rnacentral:tRNA from 1 species
GGCUCUGUGGCGCAAUGGACAGCGUGUUGGACUUCUAGUUAAGCUCAGGAGGAGUGAUUCAAAGGUUGUGGGUUCGAGUCCCACCAGAGUCG